rnacentral:rRNA from 1 species
GACGAACGCUGGCGGCGUGCCUAACACAUGCCAGUCGAACGGAAAGGCCCUGCUUUUGUGGGGUGCUCGAGUGGCGAACGGGUGAGUAACACGUGAGUAACCUGCCCUUGACUUUGGGAUAACUUCAGGAAACUGGGGCUAAUACCGGAUAGGAGCUCCUGCUGCAUGGUGGGCGUUGGAAAGUUUCGGCGGUUGGGGAUGGACUCGCGGCUUACCAGCUUGUUGGUGGGGUAGUGGCUUACCAAGGCUUUGACGGGUAGCCGGCCUGGGAGGGUGACCGGGGACAUUGGGACUGAGAUACGGCCCAGACGCCUACGGGAGGCAGCGGUGGGGAGUAUUGCACAGUGAGCGGGAGCGUGAUGCAGCAACGCCGCGUGCGGGAUGACGGCCUUCGGGUUGAAAACAGCUUUCGCCUGAGACGAAGCGUGAGUGACGGUAAUGGGUAAAGAAGCACCGGCUAACUACGUG